UCCCCCAUCCUCAUUUGUAUACUUAUAUAUAAUUCACGCAUGGGUGGGUUGAAAAAAGUUGAAGAAGAAUCAAACCAAACUUAGAUCAAUCAUAAUAGAUAUAAUCUCAUACACAUACAUAUUUAUAUUUCCCAUUUUAGGAACGUAUCAUAAUUUUCCUAUUAUUUAAGACGUUGGGUCAUGAAGGGAAUGGGCAUUGCGAAAAGGGCUGGUGUGGUAGGUCAAAGCCCAAAGUUUUCUUCUUCUUCUUCUUCUUCUUUUUUUAAUUAAAAUGGAAAAGAAAUACCAAAGGGGUCAAACCCUGGUUGGGAUCGAGGCACGUAGGGUUGUGCAGAAAGCAGAAAGCGAAGAUGAUCAUCCCAGUGCGUUGCUUCACUUGCGGGAAGGUGAUUGGAAACAAGUGGGAUCAUUACCUUGAUCUUCUACAGGCCGAUUAUUCAGAAGGGCAAGGAUGCACUUGAUGCACUGGGUCUGGUUCGCUACUGCUGUAGACGAAUGCUCAUGACUCAUGUUGACCUUAUGAAAAGCUUCUUAAUUACAAUACUCUGGAUAAGUCUGAUACCAGUUAGGCGGGGGAAAAGUUUUCUGCUUGUUCAUGUGCUGUGCUGUGCAGGAGUCAGUAUUGGCGUUUACUUAAAGAGAAGAUUCAGUGCAUGACUCGAGUUGAGCUGUGUCUUGGUGUCCCGCUCUGUUUAAUUGCUGAUUUUAUCAAGGGUUUACUAGCUUGUAGGAAUUACAUAUCAGAACUGUGUACUAUCAUAAUGUUGAAAGAUGGUUAGAAAGAAAGGAUGUAGUUAGUAUGCUGGAAGGAUUUCCCUUCUCUUAACUAACUGCCUUUGUGAAAUGGUGUUUAUACCUGGACUAUCGCUAACAAAUUAAUACAACUAUCAUCAGAUGUUUACACUGCGUCA